CCUUUUGUGUCGUUCUUGUGUGAACUGGUCCCAACAAAAGUGUUUCCCCCAAAAACAAAAUAAGCCCUAGUUUUCUUCCACUGGUUUAUCGAUGGGGUUAAGAAGUUCCUUCAAUCAGCGCGCGUUCCUCUUUCUCUUUCAAGAGUAUGAUUGAAGUCAGUUAUUUUGUUUCCUUCAAUUCGGUUUUCCUCUUCUUCAAGAGUGUAAUUGAAGUCGGUUAUUUCCUCCAAUCGGUAUAUUCCUCCUCCUCAAGAGUAUGAUUGAAGUUCCGUCGGUUGUAAUCUGUUCCGGUUGUGCACCACCGUGUCCCAACGUUUCCGAUUAUAUAUCCAAGUUUCUGCCGCCUGUAGUAACUAUUCAUUACAACUGAAGCUCUGCUGAUCAAUGUAUUUGGUUCAAAACAAGCCCCUCCCGGCUAAUUAUACUACAGUUGCCCAAGCUAGCGCACACGUAGUCAAUAUUCUUCUGCAAGGCUUCAUCCGAAGUUGAUGGCCUCGCCACACAAUAAUUGCCCUGUAGAUUCAUAUAAUACCGAAAGGCUUAAUUAAUUGUUUCUAGUCUUGGAUUCUUGUUUAUAGAUUGUAACUGUAAUGUGUGUAAUAAUUCUCGUAAUAUACUUAAUAAUAUGCGUACUAGUUUUCAUACCCAGUCGGUGUACGUGGUAAUAGCCAAGGACUCGGACUUGCAAUUACCAUAGCCUGUAGAAUAAGAGAAAAACCAACAUUACGAUUAUUUUAUACUACAUAUAUAAAAUAAUAAUUAAAAAUGACACCGUGAUUAAUAAUAAUAACAAGACUUUAGCAUACUUGGGUCCGUUGUUACUCUAACUCCAGAGUUAUUGAAGCCACACUUCCCUCCGUAUUGGUUGAAGUAAAAAUUCAUAACUGAAGCUCUGUUGAUCAGUGUAUUUGGUUCAAAACAAGCCCCUCCUGGGCUAAUCAUACUACAGUUGCCCAAACUAGCGCACGCGGUGUCAAUGAUAUCCUGCAAGGCUUCACCCGAAGUAAUUGAUGGCUUCACUAUGCACCAGUACUACGGCUAUCAAUUCAUUUACAUUUAUUCGUCAAAAUACAUAUAAUACAAAAGGCUUUGUUUUUAGUCUUGUAACAAGUUCAUGGAUUCUUAUCGUUUAUAGAUUGUAAUUGUAAUGUGUGUAAUAAUUGUAAUAUAUUAGUUAAUAUAUGCGCGUUACUGGUUCUUA